rnacentral:tRNA from 1 species
UCCCUAGUGGCUCAGAGGGUAAAGCAUCUGCCUGCAAUGUGGGAAACUUGGGUUCGAUCCCUGGAUGGGGAA